GGUGAUGGUUCCAGUCAUGCUCAAAAUGCCGCAGGUUAGCCACUGUGUAUGGAUCAGAGUACAUAUGCAAUGGAGGAUGUGGUUUCGACCAAGGCUUAUAUCCAAUGGAUUUGGCUUGUGACAGAGUCUGCCUUCAUUUCCUCCCAGUUAAUCGUCUCGUGUAUGGCAAUGAUCCCAACAACUCUUGAUAUCAAAUGACUGUUGUAACCCUUCUCUUGUAGAUAACAGAUGUAGUGUCAAGCUGCUUGUCACCAAGGCCCUUCUCUUGUAGACAACAGAUCGUAGUGUCAAGCUGCUUGUCACCAAGGCCCACCGCGGUGACCUCGACGAUGCAUACAAAGGUACCUCCUUGGUCGCGCUUGAGUUGAUUGCAACAUUUAUUUUCAUAUGAGGUGCAUAAUCUUGUUCUCCAUUUGUUUGUUUGGUGCUUACACAAAUUUGAUUGCCUCACGCUUAUUUUAAUUGGAAGACUAGGAGUGAAUGAUUAAUAAGUGGUUUUGUUCAAGGUUCUUUUGGGCUGCACUUCAAUGUGUUAGCUAGUUUUUGGUUUGUAAGGCCAAGUUUGUGCUAGUUACUGCAAACUUGCAAUGGAGCCGUGGCUGCUCGAUCUUGUAGCAAUGGAAAUCAUGGCUGCUGGAUCCGAUCAA